rnacentral:rRNA from 9 species
ACGGGUGCGUAACGCGUGGGAAUCUGCCCCUUGGUUCGGAAUAACAGUUGGAAACGACUGCUAAUACCGGAUGAUGACGUAAGUCCAAAGAUUUAUCGCCGAGGGAUGAGCCCGCGUAGGAUUAGGUAGUUGGUGUGGUAAAGGCGCACCAAGCCGACGAUCCUUAGCUGGUCUGAGAGGAUGAUCAGCCACACUGGGACUGAGACACGGCCCAGACUCCUACGGGAGGCAGCAGUGGGGAAUAUUGGACAAUGGGCGAAAGCCUGAUCCAGCAAUGCCGCGUGAGUGAUGAAGGCCUUAGGGUUGUAAAGCUCUUUUACCCGGGAUGAUAAUGACAGUACCGGGAGAAUAAGCUCCGGCUAACUCCGUGCCAGCAGCCGCGGUAAUACGGAGGGAGCUAGCGUUAUUCGGAAUUACUGGGCGUAAAGCGCACGUAGGCGGCUUUGUAAGUUAGAGGUGAAAGCCCAGAGCUCAACUCUGGAAUUGCCUUUGAUACUGCAUCGCUUGAAUCCAGGAGAGGUGAGUGGAAUUCCGAGUGUAGAGGUGAAAUUCGUAGA